rnacentral:lncRNA from 1 species
CAAAAUACCAUUAUUGUCCUAAAACCUUUGCUUCUGAGAGCAAGAAUGGGACUACUACAUUAUGGACACAUUUAAAUGAGACAUGUCACAAAUCCCCAUUUAGAAUAAUUGAUAAGAGGCAAUAAACAUUAAAACCUAUUAAAGAUGGGUGGCUAGAAGGAGGUUCGGGUUCUACUGAGAGGGUGGUGUAUAAUGUGGAGGAUAUUAGGAGAGCUAUUGCCGAAUUUGUAAUAAUUGAUGAGCAACCGUUUAGAGUUGUUGAGGGAGAAGGAUUCAAGAAAUUAAUGGCAAAAGCCUUACCUAAUUUUGAAUUACUUUGUAAUAAUUGAUGAGCAACCGUUUAGAGUUGUUGAGGGAGAAGGAUUCAAGAAAUUAAUGGCAAAAGCCUUACCUAUUUUUGAAUUACCUUCUCAUGUAACUAUUGCUAGACAUUGUUUAAAGAUUUAUCUAAAAAAAAAAUGAAAAACUCAAAAAGCUUAUCAAGAACCAGCGUGUAUGUAUUACUAGUGAUACAUGGACAUCAUUACAAAAUUUAACUUACAUGGUUGUCACUGCACAUUGGAUUGAUGAACAAUGGAAUUUACAAAAGAAAAUUCUAAAAUUUUUUCAAAUACUGGAUCACAAAGGUGAAAGUAUUGCUAAGGGAAUUGAAGAAUGCUUAUUAGGUUGGGGUAUUGAGAACUUAUUUACAGUGACNNN